UAAGACGAACCGUCCAAACGUUAUUCGGAAUCACUGGGCUUAAAGGGCGCGUAGGCGGCCGAGCGGGUCGCGGGUGAAAUCCCCCAGCUUAACUGGGGAACUGCCCUCGAUACCACUGCGGCUCGAGGAAGGAAGGGGUCAUGGGAACUGUCGGUGGAGCGGUGAAAUGCGUUGAUAUCGACAGGAACGCCUGUGGCGAAAGCGCAUGACUGGUCCUUUUCUGACGCUGAGGCGCGAAAGCCAGGGGAGCAAACGGGAUUAGAUACCCCGGUAGUCCUGGCCUUAAACGAUGAGAACUAGGUAGUGGGUCCGACCUGGGCACACUGCCGAAGCGAAAGUCUUAAGUUCUCCGCCUGGGGAGUAUGGUCGCAAGGCUGAAACUUAAAUGAAUUGACGG
rnacentral:rRNA from 1 species